CCAGCCUCGAUGUAAUUCAUGUUGAACUCUGGAUGAUCUAUUUCAAAAAGAUUAGAAGCACUUGUACAGAGGAAGAAUAACAAGUAUACAGGAAGGAUGCUGAUUUUAGAACUGCUAUGUAGCUAAGAUGCCGAGAGAAAAACCAAAAAGGAGAUACAUGAAUUUAUUGAUAAGGACGACAUGAAGUUUAGUGGUUUGAAAGAAGAGAUGAGUACUGAUUUAUGAUAAAAAUAAAGACGCAUUUUUUGAAUAGUUAGAUUCAUUAGCAUUUAAAAAUUUUAAGGGAAAGGCAAGGGUAUAGACUCUCAGAUCUUCUUACAAUCUGAAAUAAAGUAAGCAAGCCCGU